rnacentral:rRNA from 1 species
GAUGAACGCUGGCGGCGUGCCUAAUACAUGCAAGUCGAGCGAACGGACGAGAAGCUUGCUUUUCUGAUGUUAGCGGCGGACGGGUGAGUAACACGUGGAUAACCUACCUAUAAGACUGGGAUAACUUCGGGAAACCGGAGCUAAUACCGGAUAAUAUUUUGAACCGCAUGGUUCAAAAGUGAAAGACGGUCUUGCUGUCACUUAUAGAUGGAUCCGCGCUGCAUUAGCUAGUUGGUAAGGUAACGGCUUACCAAGGCAACGAUGCAUAGCCGACCUGAGAGGGGGAUCGGCCAAACUGGAACGGAGACCCGGCCCAAACCCCUACGGGAGGCAGCAGUGGGGAAUCUUCCGCAAGGGGCGAAAGCCUGACGGAGCAACGCCGGGGGGGGGAUGAAGGUUUUCGGAUCGUAAACCCCUGUUAUUAGGGAAGAAAAUAUGUGUAAGUAACUGUGCACAUCUUGGCGGUACCAAAUCAAAAAGCCACGGCUAACUACGU